AUAAAGCCAAUCUGCAAAUUCAAAAGUAGAAAGAUCGCCACACAAACAAACAAGCACAUACUGAUGAGAAAAAGAGAAAACCACAUUACACAAAUGAUGGAAUCAAAGAAGAAAACGGAAAGAAAAAGAUAUCGCAUACCUUUGAAGAAAGCUUGAGACCUCUCUUCCACCGUCAAGUUAUGUCGCUCAAAUCUAGCGAGGAACAGAAUAGGUCUGCUAGGUGUGCUGUUACUGUUACAAGUUUUCUACUCGUUGAAAAAAAAAAGGAAAAUGGAAAACAGAAAUGAAAAAUGAAAAAUGGAAAACAGAAAACCGAAAACCAAAUGGACCCUAAAUGAUCAGUGUCAAAAAAAUUCCACAACUCGUAAUGCUUAUCCUCGUAGAAGGC